rnacentral:rRNA from 1 species
GAUGAACGCUGGCGGCGUGCCUAAUACAUGCAAGUCGAGCGAACGGACGAGAAGCUUGCUUCUCUGAUGUUAGCGGCGGACGGGUGAGUAACACGUGGAUAACCUACCUAUAAGACUGGGAUAACUUCGGGAAACCGGAGCUAAUACCGGAUAAUAUUUUGAACCGCAUGGUUCAAAAGUGAAAGACGGUCUUGCUGUCACUUAUAGAUGGAUCCGCGCUGCAUUAGCUAGUUGGUAAGGUAACGGCUUACCAAGGCAACGAUGCAUAGCCGACCUGAGAGGGUGAUCGGCCACACUGGAACUGAGACACGGUCCAGACUCCUACGGGAGGCAGCAGUAGGGAAUCUUCCGCAAUGGGCGAAAGCCUGACGGAGCAACGCCGCGUGAGUGAUGAAGGUCUUCGGAUCGUAAAACUCUGUUAUUAGGGAAGAACAUAUGUGUAAGUAACUGUGCACAUCUUGACGGUACCUAAUCAGAAAGCCACGGCUAACUACGUGCCAGCAGCCGCGGUAAUACGUAGGUGGCAAGCGUUAUCCGGAAUUAUUGGGCGUAAAGCGCGCGUAGGCGGUUUUUUAAGUCUGAUGUGAAAGCCCGCGGCUCAACCGUGGAGGGUCAUUGGAAACUGGAAAACUUGAGUGCAGAAGAGGAAAGUGGAAUUCCAUGUGUAGCGGUGAAAUGCGCAGAGAUAUGGAGGAACACCAGUGGCGAAGGCGACUUUCUGGUCUGUAACUGACGCUGAUGUGCGAAAGCGUGGGGAUCAAACAGGAUUAGAUACCCUGGUAGUCCACGCCGUAAACGAUGAGUGCUAAGUGUUAGGGGGUUUCCGCCCCUUAGUGCUGCAGCUAACGCAUUAAGCACUCCGCCUGGGGAGUACGACCGCAAGGUUGAAACUCAAAGGAAUUGACGGGGACCCGCACAAGCGGUGGAGCAUGUGGUUUAAUUCGAAGCAACGCGAAGAACCUUACCAAAUCUUGACAUCCUUUGACAACUCUAGAGAUAGAGCUUUCCCCUUCGGGGGACAAAGUGACAGGUGGUGCAUGGUUGUCGUCAGCUCGUGUCGUGAGAUGUUGGGUUAAGUCCCGCAACGAGCGCAACCCUUAAGCUUAGUUGCCAUCAUUAAGUUGGGCACUCUAAGUUGACUGCCGGUGACAAACCGGAGGAAGGUGGGGAUGACGUCAAAUCAUCAUGCCCCUUAUGAUUUGGGCUACACACGUGCUACAAUGGACAAUACAAAGGGCAGCGAAACCGUGAGGUCAAGCAAAUCCCAUAAAGUUGUUCUCAGUUCGGAUUGUAGUCUGCAACUCGACUACAUGAAGCUGGAAUCGCUAGUAAUCGUAGAUCAGCGUGCUACGGUGAAUACGUUCCCGGGUCU